rnacentral:rRNA from 1 species
UACGUAGGGUGCGAGCGUUAAUCGGAAUUACUGGGCGUAAAGCGUGCGCAGGCGGCUUCGCAAGUCAGACGUGAAAUCCCCGGGCUUAACCUGGGAAUGGCAUUUGGGACUGCAAGGCUCGAGUGCGGCAGAGGAGACUGGAAUUCCUGGUGUAGCAGUGAAAUGCGUAGAUAUCAGGAGGAACACCGAUGGCGAAGGCAGGUCUCUGGGCUGACACUGACGCUCAUGCACGAAAGCGUGGGGAGCAAACAGG